AUAUUUAGGGGCUGUUUGACUUCCUGGUUAACGGCAAUUUGCAAAGCAAACCAGCAAAAAUUUUGUGUUUGAUAAACAACACUACGGGAACUGGAGGCCCUCAAUUAGCGUGUGGCUCGAGCCUAAGUUACUGUUACAUUAGCGAAAUGGGUGAGGGGGUCGGCUCCGGUUAUAGUAGCUUACUGCUACUGUGACUCCUUUCAAAAUUCACUCAUCGCGAUCUUGCCCCUAGUCUUCGAAUUAAAAAAUCAAAUAACACAAAUUGGCAGCUCACUUUUUCGAUUUCAAAAGAAUUGGCGACGAUGUACUCACGGCGCAUCUUAAGCACGGGCUCAAUUGAGCUGGGGGAUUCGCAUAGGCACUAGCUAGGGCUUCACCGCAGCUAAUUGCGGUGAGAGGGUGGAAGUCGCAGGACUUACGAGGUCGAUUUACCCGUCAGGAAGGUGUGUGCCCUCAGACAUUGAAUGAGUUGUUUGUUUGGUUUAAUGCAGAGUACUACGAUGCAAACUCAUGGAGAUAUUGUAUGGGAGUGUUUUGUUGUAGCACUCAGCAUUAGUUUGGGAUGAUUAUGACUAUUUUGAUAGUUUGGGAUGUCUUUUGUUAGUUUGGAUUAUGAGUAUUAUGUCAUUGUAAUAGUCGCCUAGUUUUUCGGAUAAUCAAUUCUCAUAUUAUUUUUUU